GUCUGAAGUUCACAAUGUCUGACUUUGAAUCUAGGAAUGUCAGAUGCCCUGUGGCUAGAUCCCUGUGAGAAGGACUGGCUUUUGCCUCUCUGGUCCUAAAUUCUCAUCGCCUGGUGCUGGCUCAAGCGAUCCAGCAGGCUGUGAGGAGACAGGUUGUUCUGAAGCUUGCACCCGGAGUCUGAGCACGGCUGCCAACUGGUCUUUCUCCUCCCGCUCACUCAGAAAAGAAUCUGAGGUUAAGUACCACGAUGUGGGCACUGGCCUGAGAUAAGACAUUCGAACUAAUACAGAUGUGAACAAGGAAAGGCUCUUGGGCGACUAAAGAUUCCUCAACAGAUACACUACCUACGUCUGGUCUGAGACUGGCCUUAUCCUUCACCUCAUCCUACCACUUCUUGGAGGCCUGAGGACCCUGGAGAAGACCACCCAUUAUUCUUUGAGACAGAAGCCAGCCCACAGGAAAGGAAGGGAUGGGUAAUUGUCAGGAUGGAGCCUUCCUCAUGGGUCUGUGACCAUGCACCCAAGCCACCAGCCUACUAUUACUCUGACAUCAAAAGGAGACGACAAACGUAUAGGAUAGAGUGAGAGUGCACUGGACACUGAU
ensembl:lncRNA